rnacentral:rRNA from 1 species
GACGAACGCUGGCGGCGUGCUUAACACAUGCAAGUCGAACGAUGAAGAAGAGAAACGCGAACUUCGGUUCAAAUUUCACUUCGGAUUAGUGGCAGACGGGUGAGUAACGCGUGAGCAACCUACCUCUUACAAAGGGAUAGCCUCGGGAAACCGUGAUUAAUACCAUAUGACACAUUCAUAAGGCAUCUUAAGAAUGUUAAAGCUACGGCGGUAAGAGAUGGGCUCGCGUCCCAUUAGCUAGUUGGUGAGGUAACGGCCCACCAAGGCGACGAUGGGUAACCGGCCUGAGAGGGGGAACGGUCACAUUGGAACUGAGACACGGUCCAAACUCCUACGGGAAGCAGCAGUGGGGAAUAUUGCACAAUGGAGGGAACUCUGAUGCAGCGACGCCGCGUGAGCGAUGAAGGAAUUCGUUUCGUAAAGCUCUGUUCUAUGGGAAGAAAAGGACUGUACCAUAGGAGAAAGCCCCGGCUAAAUACGUG